AGCAGUUGGUAAAUGUUUUGCAUAUCAUCCCUGCCUGUUAGAGUGGACAAUAUUAGCAAAGGCACCGAGGAGGAAUAAUCUUGGCCUGUUUAUCAAACGCCACUGCUACAGUGAGCAGUUCUAUCCAACCAGCUUCACGUAGCAGCACGCUGAGCAUGCCUCUUCUCACUGCCCGUCCCUGGAUUCUCAGAUGCAGUGGCUGGCUGGGGUGUGCCAUCUAUGAUGAUUUUAAAAAGCAAUGAGAAAUGUACUGACAGAUCUGGUCACCAUUCUGAAAGAGCAAUCAACUAAGAGAGCAUGCAGCUCUGACAAUUGCUGGAAAUCAUCGUGUGGCCCUAAGGAGUGCGAGCCUAAAGAUGCAGCAGAAAGAGGGAUGGUGAGAUUACUGAACUUUUGAGUCAAGUCACAUCCAAAGCUCAUGUGACCUCUGAUCUUUUCAAAUAAAUGAGUUAUUAAAUAUUUUAUUUAAACCAGUGUAAGUCAGGCUUUCUCUUAUCUGGGACGGAAAGACUCUCAACUGCUAGAGUAUACAAGCAAGUUUUGUAACUUGCAAAUCACGAUAAAACAUUUUUAAAAUUAUUUUUCCACUAUGAAUUAGCAAGAAUACCUGUGACCCAGGGGGCUGGUUGAGGAAAAUUUCUAAGCUUUUGUUUUAAUUUAGUACCCUCUUUUGGAAAAAAUUGUUACCGACUGACAGAAUGUUCAGAACUAGAUCCCAACAAGAAUAAUCACAUAUGUAAAAAGAAACAGGCAUUUAAAACCUAUAAAACUGAGGGAGUUGUGUGUGAGACUGAGUGAGAAUAUAUUCUUAUAUUCAAAUAUGUAUAAAAUUCACAAGUCAUAAAGGUAAAGACUGUCGGAUUUGGCUACAUAAAAAUAAAACUACAAAUACUGCUAUAUGGCAAAAGAAAAGAAAAGAAAAAGAAACCCAGAGUUAAAAUGUAAGCAACAAACUGAGGGGAAUUUUUGUAGCUUAUAUGAA